UGAGGAAUAUUGCGCAAUGGGGGCAACCCUGACGCAGCAACGCCGCGUGAGUGAGGAAGGUUUUCGGACCGUAAAGCUCUGUCGAGCGGGAAGAAAUGCAUGGUGGCUAAUAUCCAUCAUGCUUGACGGUACCGCUAAAGGAAGCACCGGCUAACUCCGUGCCAGCAGCCGCGGUAAUACGGGGGGUGCAAGCGUUGUUCGGAAUUAUUGGGCGUAAAGAGCGUGUAGGCGGCUGAAUAAGUCAGAUGUGAAAUCCCUGGGCUUAACCCAGGACGUGCAUUUGAAACUAUUCAGCUUGGGUAGGGGAGAGGAAAGUGGAAUUCCUGGUGUAGAGGUGAAAUUCGUAGAUAUCAGGAGGAACACCGGUGGCGAAGGCGACUUUCUGGCCCUAUACUGACGCUGAGACGCGAGAGCGUGGGUAGCAAACAGGAUUAGAUACCCUGGUAGUCCACGCUGUAAACGAUGUUCACUAGGUGUUGGGGGUAUUGACCCUCUCAGUGCCGCAGCUAACGCAUUAAGUGAACCGCCUGGGGAGUACGGUCGCAAGAUUA
rnacentral:rRNA from 1 species